CUCUGUUCUCCCUCAUCGCUUGUCUUGUUCCGUGUUCUCUGUGUUUGAUCCAUGGUCAUCUGUGUCGCUGCCCUGUCUUUCCCAGCUAUGUCUCCUUGUGUCUCACCCCGGACCUGGAAUCACACAUUUGAAACCAUCCUCCUGGGACAAAUUUAGACGACAGACCGAUCCAAACUGCUGGAGCAGAAACAGGUGUGGGAGCGGGCGUGCGAGCCUGGGACAGGCGGAGUCCUCGCUAACCCUUCUCCUCUAAUUGCCGCGGAUGCCAGUAUGCUCGCUCUGCUCGCUGCCUUUCAUAACAGUUGGUGUUUGGCAAGGGGCUUUUUUAUGUUUGUUUAAGCUGAUGAUUUGCUACUUAUUGUGUCUCAGUCAAAGGGAAUACUUAUCGCAUCCUCAGUCGAACAGAAAAUGUGUGCACGCGUCGUCCCCCUGCGGAAUGCCGGUUGCCAACUGCUCCGAGACACGCUGCGGCGUGAAAAGCCACUUUUUGAAACUUCCAGCAACAAUCUGAUGUUGAUUUAGCUUUUUUUUUCUGUAACUAUUUACAAGAAACUUCUGCACAUAGAGAAAGAGACAGAGGCACUGCAGCACAGCUGUGGGGAUUAAACUAUGUAUGAGCAGCCCUGCCAGUUUUACCAACUCCUCAGGCCUUAGGCAUAUAGGGCUAGAUAGUUCCAUGUUGACAACAAGGAUAAUCACAUUUUGGCUUGCUGUAACACGUUAAAGUCUUAAAUCAUUCAUUUCAUUUCCUGUUAUAUUAUAUGUGAGCUUUGUUCCGGGGUCUGAUCUCAGCAAAACAAUGAGCUGCUUUUCUGAUACACCUUAUUGAUAUUUUUUUUUCCCCGCUCUCGACAUCAGAUAUCCUCGGCUCCAAACUUAGAAUUUACUCCCCUGUCUGCACGUUUUUCUCUCUUGCGAGGCUCGCGCUCCGGAUCAUGUGGAGCCGUAUUUAUCGUCGCAGCUUAUUUAAAUAAUCACAGGCAUGUCAGCGCACAUUAUGGCCCUCUGUCAAGGUAAUAACACAUUGUCAUUGCUGUUGGGAAGAAAAUAUUAAACCAUAGAUCAAUGUUUAACAAUGCAUAAUGGACUGGAUCUGCAUGUUGCCGUUUCCAUUUCAGUUGGCCUUUGGCUAUAUUAGAAUAAUUUAAUGCUCCAAAUAAUAUGAAAAAGAAAUCUGUUGUUGUUAUUACUUUUUUUGAUGAAUAGUUAAGGGAAUCAGUGUAACAUGUAUUUUCGAAUAUGACGGGUGUUUGCAUGUGACAGCCGCUUGACCGUGAUGUUAGUGAGCCUGUGCCCUCUGUCGA